CCUACGGGGGGCAGCAGUGGGGAAUCUUCCGCAAUGGGCGAAAGCCUGACGGAGCAACGCCGCGUGAGUGAAGAAGGUCUUCGGAUCGUAAAGCUCUGUUGUUGGGGACGAAAGGAAAAGGGAGGAAAUGCCCUUUUUAAGACGGUACCCGACGAGCAAGCCACGGCUAACUACGUGCCAGCAGCCGCGGUAAUACGUAGGUGGCGAGCGUUGUCCGGAAUGAUUGGGCGUAAAGGGAGCGCAGGUGGGACGGUAAGUCCUUCUUAAAAGCGUGGGGCUCAGCCCCAUGAAGGGAAGGAAACUAUCGAUCUUGAGUGCCGGAGAGGAAAGCGGAAUUCCCAGUGUAGCGGUGAAAUGCGUAGAUAUUGGGAAGAACACCAGUGGCGAAGGCGGCUUUCUGGACGGCAACUG
rnacentral:rRNA from 1 species